GGCGAACGCUGGCGGCGUGCCUAAAACAUGCAAGUCGAGCGGGGGUUGGCCGCGGGGCAACCCGCGGUUUCAGCUCUAGCGGCGAACGGGUGAGUAACACGUGGGUAACCUGCCCCGAAGACGGGGAUAACCUCGGGAAACCGGGGCUAAUACCCGAUACCCUCCUCCGGGGGCAUCCCUAGGGGAGGAAAGGGUUGGGCGCAAGCCCUUCCGCUUCGGGAUGGGCCCGCGGCCUAUCAGCUUGUUGGUGGGGUAACGGCCCACCAAGGCGAUGACGGGUAGCUGGCCUGAGAGGGUGGUCAGCCACACUGGGACUGAGACACGGCCCAGACUCCUACGGGAGGCAGCAUG
rnacentral:rRNA from 1 species